UUGCUUUAAGCUUCUUCAAUAUUAUCAAACUAAGGUCCUAUUAGCCCCAUUAGCCCCCCCCCCCCAAAUCUCAAACGCUAUUUGCGCCUAUGGUACUUAUAGAUAGUCGUGCUAUUAACUGAGCUAUUAAUACUAAUAUUUUGUUUUAAUGAUUUAUGUACUUUUAUGUGUUAUUGACAUUAUUUUGACAUUUUGUUAACAUAUAUAUUUGUUGUGUACAUGCACCUCAUGAUGCAUCCAAAACUACAUUUAGUGUUUCCAAAAAUGAGGGAGAAAAAGCUUUGGGAAUGGUUUUAAAAAAGAGCCAUCGUGCCUGCGCUAAACAUUUUGAAACUUAUGAAAUUAAAAGUACUUGGGAGUCUGGCGAAGGAUUAAAUAAAUACACGAUAUGUUUGAAAAUUCCGAGAUUAGUAGAAGGGGCUGAAGCGAAGUCAAUGUUAAAUUGUGAAAAUAAUGUUUCAAAUGAUCAAAAUAAAAAUGUAGAGGUUUGAAAAUUAAUAAUAUAAUUGAUAUAAUUUUGAUUAUUAACUUUAACAAUACUUAACAAAUUAAUAUUAAAUAGACUUUUGAAUCUGAGAAUAAAUUGUUUCCAUUUAAAACGGAUCCAAUACAACUCUUGAGUGAUUCUCAGAUAAAACCUAUAUGCAAAUCACCUAUUUUUAUCCAAACAUAACACAAUAAAAACCACGGCUUUAGAGUUUAGAUUAUCUUAGGUAAUAUCAUAGAACAAUGGUAAUAUUUUAAUACGUAAUAAUUAACUAAUAACUCUCAUUUUUAAAAAUAUAUUAAAAAAUAUAUUAAUAUUGUUACCUAUGUUGCUAACAUGAUAAUUAUUUGCCAUUUGGUUAGUAUAUAAAUCCGCUGGGAGCGCUCUAUGAUCUUAGGUAUUUGGUAAGAACAUUCUCAACACACUUUUUCUCGUUUCGUUACGCAACCGUACUAUCUUAAACCGUGGUAAAGACGUAUACUUUGACGAACAUAAUCAUUCGUAGUCUGCGUGUUUCCGUACUUCUGAUAUUUGUAUAUGUCCGAACGAAAUAUGUCGCAAGAAAAUAAUAGUAUAAAAUUAAUUACUGGCAAACGAGGCAAUUUGUUGGUUGUAUUUAAAAAUUAUAAGUAUAGUAAAAAUAAAAAAUACGCGUCUGGUGAAAUAAAAUGGAGGUGCAAUAACAAAAAUUGUAAUGCAUUUAUAAAAACUGUUGGAGCUGAGCAGCAUAAUAUUGCUUUAACACAUUUUGCAAAUGAUACUCACAUUACUUCAUGCCUUCCAAUUUCCAUCCAAACACUAGAAAAACAAGAAAUAAGUAGUUGUGUAAAGAGGAAAACGGUGGAAGAUAUUCGUGAUAAACCGGGUAUGUGGACAAACCGAUUUCAGAAACCGGUAUAAACCGUUUUUAAACCGAAA
rnacentral:misc_RNA from 1 species